rnacentral:rRNA from 1 species
AGAGUUUGAUCAUGGCUCAGGAUAAACGCUGGCGGCGCACAUAAGACAUGCAAGUCGAACGGAAGUCGUUACGAAAUGGAAUGAAGAUUUAUCUGAUUGAAGUUUUGUAACAAUGGCUUUAGUGGCGGACUGGUGAGUAACACGUAAGCAAUCUACCUAUUAGAGGGGAAUAACAAUGAGAAAUCAUUGCUAAUACCGCAUAAGCUUGUAGUACCGCAUGGUACAGCAAGAAAAGGAGCAAUCCGCUAAUAGAUGAGCUUGCGGCUGAUUAGCUAGUUGGUGUGGUAACGGCAUACCAAGGCAACGAUCAGUAGCCGGGCUGAGAGGCUCUUCGGCCACAUUGGGACUGAGAUACGGCCCAGACUCCUACGGGAGGCAGCAGUCGGGAAUUUUGCGCAAUGGAGGAAACUCUGACGCAGUGACGCCGCGUAUAGGAAGAAGGUUUUCGGAUUGUAAACUAUUUUAGUCAGGGAAGAAAAAUGACAGUACCUGAAGAAUAAGCUCCGGCUAACUACGUGCCAGCAGCCGCGGUAAUACGUAGGGAGCAAGCGUUAUCCGGAUUUAUUGGGUGUAAAGGGUGCGUA